GUGCUUGCUUCAGCAACACAUAUACUAACAUUGGAACAAUACAGAGAAGAUUAGCAUGGCCCCUGCUCAAGGAUGACAUGCAAAUUUGUGAAGCAUUCCAUAUUUUU
ensembl:snRNA U6 U6 spliceosomal RNA